GAUGAACGCUGGCGGCGUGCCUAAUACAUGCAAGUCGAGCGAACGGACGAGAAUCUUGCUUCUCUGAUGUUAGCGGCGGACGGGUGAGUAACACGUGGAUAACCUACCUAUAAGACUGGGAUAACUUCGGGAAACCGGAGCUAAUACCGGAUAAUAUUUUGAACCGCAUGGUUCAAAAGUAAAAGACGGUCUUGCUGUCACUUAUAGAUGCAUCCGCGCUGCAUUAGCUAGUUGGUAAGGUAACGGCUUACCAAGGCAACGAUGCAUAGCCGACCUGAGAGGGUGAUAGGCCACACUGGAACUGAGACACGGUCCAGACUCCUACGGGAGGCAGCAGUAGGGAAUCUUCCGCAAUGGGCGAAAGCCUGACGGAGCAACGCCGCGUGAGUGAUGAAGGUCUUCGGAUCGUAAAACUCUGUUAUUAGGGAAGAACAUAUGUGUAAGUAACUGUGCACAUCUUGACGGUACCUAAUCAGAAAGCCACGGCUAACUACGUG
rnacentral:rRNA from 1 species